UAGAUGCGAGAGUAGAGCAUAUCAAUAAGCGGAGGAAAAGAAACUAACAAGGAUUCCCUUAGUAACGGCGAGUGAAGCGGGAAGAGCUCAAAUUUGAAAUCUUCAAGGUUUUACCUUGACGAAUUGUAGUUUAAAGAAGUGUUUUCUGUUGAAGUUUUGGUAAAAGUUCUUUGGAAUAGGACAUCAUAGAGGGUGAGAAUCCCGUAUUUGGUCAUUCCUCCUAGGCGGUUGUGAUACACUUUCAACGAGUCGGAUUGUUUGGGAAUGCAGUCCAAAAUGGGUGGUAAAUUUCAUCUAAAGCUAAAUAUUGGCGAGAGACCGAUAGCGAACAAGUACCGUGAGGGAAAGAUGAAAAGAACUUUGAAAAGAGAGUUAAACAGUACGUGAAAUUGUCAAAAGGGAAGCGUUUGACACCAGUGUUGUUUUUCCGAAAAUCAAUUAAGAAUGUUUUAUUUUUGAGAAGUUAUGACUUCAUCGGCUUGCUCUCUUCUUUAUGAAACUUUCUUAAUGCACUUUUCGGUUAACAAGUCAACAUCAAUUUCUUUUGUUGUAAAAGGGUAUGAGGAAGGUGGCUUUCUUUUCGGAGAAAGUGUUUAUAGCCUUGUACCUCUGCAGUCGGAGAGACUUGAGGUCUGCAGCGUAGAUCCUUCGGGGUUAGAUACGUUUGUGCUAAGUUAUAGCUUUGUCAUAGACAUCAUGUUGACUAUGCUUAGUCUUGUAGCUUACUCGCUUAUGCUAUUUUACCUACGCUUAGGAUGUUGACGAGACUGUCGAUCU
rnacentral:rRNA from 1 species